UACGUAGGGGGCUAGCGUUGUCCGGAAUCAUUGGGCGUAAAGAGCGUGUAGGCGGUCCGGUAAGUCCGCUGUGAAAGUCGGGGGCUCAACCCUCGAAUGCCGGUGGAUACUGUCGGGCUAGAGUGCGGAAGAGGCGAGUGGAAUUCCUGGUGUAGCGGUGAAAUGCGCAGAUAUCAGGAGGAACACCUAUUGCGAAGGCAGCUCGCUGGGACGUAACUGACGCUGAGACGCGAAAGCGUGGGGAG
rnacentral:rRNA from 1 species